rnacentral:rRNA from 1 species
CGUUAAGGCUGAGCUGUGAUGGGGAGAAGACAUUGUGUCUUCGAGUCGUUGAUUUCACACUGCCGAGAAAAGCCUCUAGAUAGAAAAUAGGUGCCCGUACCGCAAACCGACACAGGUAGUCAAGAUGAGAAUUCUAAGGUGAGCGAGCGAACUCUCGUUAAGGAACUCGGCAAAAUGACCCCGUAACUUCGGGAGAAGGGGUGCUCUUUAGGGUUAACGCCCAGAAGAGCCGCAGUGAAUAGGCCCAAGCGACUGUUUAUCAAAAACACAGGUCUCUGCUAAACCGUAAGGUGAUGUAUAGGGGCUGACGCCUGCCCGGUGCUGGAAGGUUAAGAGGAGUGGUUAGCUUCUGCGAAGCUACGAAUCGAAGCCCCAGUAAACGGCGGCCGUAACUAUAACGGUCCUAAGGUAGCGAAAUUCCUUGUCGGGUAAGUUCCGACCCGCACGAAAGGCGUAACGAUUUGGGCACUGUCUCAACGAGAGACUCGGUGAAAUCAUAGUACCUGUGAAGAUGCAGGUUACCCGCGACAGGACGGAAAGACCCCGUGGAGCUUUACUGUAGCCUGAUAUUGAAAUUCGGCACAGCUUGUACAGGAUAGGUAGGAGCCUUUGAAACGUGAGCGCUAGCUUACGUGGAGGCGCUGGUGGGAUACUACCCUAGCUGUGUUGGCUUUCUAACCCGCACCACUUAUCGUGGUGGGAGACAGUGUCAGGCGGGCAGUUUGACUGGGGCGGUCGCCUCCUAAAAGGUAACGGAGGCGCUCAAAGGUUCCCUCAGAAUGGUUGGAAAUCAUUCAUAGAGUGUAAAGGCAUAAGGGAGCUUGACUGCGAGACCUACAAGUCGAGCAGGGUCGAAAGACGGACUUAGUGAUCCGGUGGUUCCGCAUGGAAGGGCCAUCGCUCAACGGAUAAAAGCUACCCCGGGGAUAACAGGCUUAUCUCCCCCAAGAGUUCACAUCGACGGGGAGGUUUGGCACCUCGAUGUCGGCUCAUCGCAUCCUGGGGCUGUAGUCGGUCCCAAGGGUUGGGCUGUUCGCCCAUUAAAGCGGUACGCGAGCUGGGUUCAGAACGUCGUGAGACAGUUCGGUCCCUAUCCGUCGUGGGCGUAGGAAAUUUGAGAGGAGCUGUCCUUAGUACGAGAGGACCGGGAUGGACAUACCUCUGGUGUACCAGUUGUCGUGCCAACGGCAUAGCUGGGUAGCUAUGUGUGGACGGGAUAAGUGCUGAAAGCAUCUAAGCAUGAAGCCCCCCUCAAGAUGAGAUUUCCCAACUUCGGUUAUAAGAUCCCUCAAAGAUGAUGAGGUUAAUAGGUUCGAGGUGGAAGCAUGGUGACAUGUGGAGCUGACGAAUACUAAUCGAUCGAAGACUUAAUCAA